rnacentral:rRNA from 1 species
CAGCAGCCGCGGGAAUACGUAGGUCCCGAGCGUUGUCCGGAUUUAUUGGGCGUAAAGCGAGCGCAGGCGGUUAGAUAAGUCUGAAGUUAAAGGCUGUGGCUUAACCAUAGUACGCUUUGGAAACUGUUUAACUUGAGUGCAAGAGGGGAGAGUGGAAUUCCAUGUGUAGCGGUGAAAUGCGUAGAUAUAUGGAGGAACACCGGUGGCGAAAGCGGCUCUCUGGCUUGUAACUGACGCUGAGGCUCGAAAGCGUGAGGAGCAAACAGGAUUAGAUACCCGAGUAGUCCCUGUCUCUUAUACA